rnacentral:rRNA from 1 species
AUACGGAGGAUGCGAGCGUUAUCCGGAUUUAUUGGGUUUAAAGGGUGCGUAGGCUGUGCGUUAAGUCAGGGGUGAAAUGCCGUCGCUCAACGACGGAGCUGCCCUUGAUACUGGCGUGCUGGAGUACGGAUGCCGUUGGAGGAAUGAGUGGUGUAGCGGUGAAAUGCUUAGAUAUCACUCAGAACACCGAUUGCGAAGGCAUCUGACGAAUCCGUCACUGACGCUGAGGCACGAAAGCGUGGGGAUAGAACAGGAUUAGAUACCCUGGUAUUCCACGCCGUAAACGAUGAUGACUAACCGUCGGCGAUAGACAGCCGGUGGCCAAGCGAAAGCGAUAAGUCAUCCACCUGGGGAGU